GAACGCUGGCGGCGUGCUUAACACAUGCAAGUCGAGCGGAAAGGCCCUUCGGGGUACUCGAGCGGCGAACGGGUGAGUAACACGUGAGCAACCUGCCCCAAGCUUUGGGAUAACCCUCGGAAACGGGGGCUAAUACCGAAUAUUACUUCUGGCCGCAUGGCUGGGGGUGGAAAGUUUUUCGGCUUGGGAUGGGCUCGCGGCCUAUCAGCUUGUUGGUGGGGUGAUGGCCUACCAAGGCGACGACGGGUAGCCGGCCUGAGAGGGCGACCGGCCACACUGGGACUGAGACACGGCCCAGACUCCUACGGGAGGCAGCAGUGGGGAAUAUUGCACAAUGGGCGGAAGCCUGAUGCAGCGACGCCGCGUGAGGGAUGACGGCCUUCGGGUUGUAAACCUCUUUCAGCAGGGACGAAGCGGAAGUGACGGUACCUGCAGAAGAAGCGCCGGCCAACUACGUGCCAGCAGCCGCGGUAAGACGUAGGGCGCGAGCGUUGUCCGGAUUUAUUGGGCGUAAAGAGCUCGUAGGCGGC
rnacentral:rRNA from 1 species